UUCCUCUUUCCCUUUUUUUUUUUUUUCAUCUUCCUUUCCUCACCUCCUCUCUCAUCUCAUGCAAUGAAAUUACUAAAAAAGCAAAUCGAACGAGAUGGAAGUGGUGUACUGAAA
rnacentral:ribozyme from 21 species